rnacentral:rRNA from 1 species
GAUGAACGCUGGCGGCGUUCCUAAUACAUGCAAGUCGAGCGAACAGAUGAGGAGCUUGCUCCUCUGACGUUAGCGGCGGACGGGUGAGUAACACGUGGAUAACCUACCUAUAAGACUGGGAUAACUUCGGGAAACCGGAGCUAAUACCGGAUAAUAUAUUGAACCGCAUGGUUCAAUAGUGAAAGACGGUUUUGCUGUCACUUAUAGAUGGUUCCGCGCCGCAUUAGCUAGUUGGUAAGGUAACGGCUUACCAAGGCAACGAUGCGUAGCCGACCUGAGAGGGUGAUCGGCCACACUGGAACUGGGACACGGUCCAGACUCCUACGGGAGGCAGCAGUAGGGAAUCUUCCGCAAUGGGCGAAAGCCUGACGGAGCAACGCCGCGUGAGUGAUGAAGGUCUUCGGAUCGUAAAACUCUGUUAUUAGGGAAGAACAAAUGUGUAAGUAACUAUGCACGUCUUGACGGUACCUAAUCAGAAAGCCACGGCUAACUACGUG